rnacentral:rRNA from 1 species
UGAGGAAUAUUGCGCAAUGGGCGAAAGCCUGACGCAGCAACGCCGUGUGGAGGAUGAAGCCCUAUGGGGUGUAAACUCCUGUUAGGAGGGAAGAAAGUCUUCGGACUGACGGUACCUUCAGAGAAAGCCCCGGCUAACUCCGUGCCAGCAGCCGCGGUAAUACGGAGGGGGCUAGCGUUGUUCGGAUUUACUGGGCGUAAAGGGCGUGUAGGCGGAUCGAUCAGUCAGGCGUGAAAGCCCUGGGCUCAACCCAGGAACAGCGUUUGAAACUGUCGAUCUUGAGUUCGGGAGAGGGUAGUGGAAUUCCCAGUGUAGAGGUGAAAUUCGUAGAUAUUGGGAAGAACACCAGUGGCGAAGGCGGCUACCUGGACCGAUACUGACGCUGAGGCGCGAAAGCGUGGGAGCAAACAGGAUUAGAUACCCUGGUAGUCCACGCCGUACACGAUGUCUGCUAGAUGUUGGGGGGCGUAGCCCUUCAGUGUCGCAUCUAACGCACUAAGCAGACCGCCUGGGGAGUACGGCCGCCAGGCUA